rnacentral:misc_RNA from 1 species
GAAAUGCGAUAAGUAGUGUGAAUUGCAGAAUUCAGUGAAUCAUCGAAUCUUUGAACGCACAUUGCGCCCCUUGGUAUUCCAUGGGGCAUGUCUGUUCGAGCGUCAUCUACACCCUCAAGCUCUGCUUGGUGUUGGGCGUCUGUCCCGCCCCCGCGCGUGGACUCGCCCCAAAUCCAUUGGCAGCGUUCCUUGCCCCCUCUCGCGCAGCACAUUGCGCUUCUCGAGGGCGGCUCCGGGACGCGAUCCAGCAAGAUGACCACCGUCUUUGACCUCGGAUCAGGUAGGGAUACCCGCUGAACUUAAGC